rnacentral:rRNA from 1 species
UACGUAGGGGGCGAGCGUUGUCCGGAAUCAUUGGGCGUAAAGCGCGUGUAGGCGGCUUUGCAAGUCGGGUGUGAAAUCCCCAGGCUUAACCUGGGAACUGCAUCCGAGACUGCAUUGCUAGAGUAUGGGAGAGGGAAGUGGAAUUUCAGGUGUAGCGGUGAAAUGCGUAGAUAUCUGAAGGAACAUCAGUGGCGAAAGCGACUUCCUGGACCAAUACUGACGCUCAUGUGCGAAAGCGUGGGGAGCAAACAGG